rnacentral:rRNA from 1 species
UACGACCAAUCAGAAUCCUCGGAAAACAGAUUUGAGUAUGAACACAUACGCUGCGACCCGAAAGAUGGUGAACUAUGCCCGAGUAGGGUGAAGUCAGGGGAAACCCUGAUGGAGGCUCGAAGCGGUUCUGACGUGCAAAAUCGAUCGUCAAAACUUGGGGUAUAGGGGCGAAAAGACUAAUCGAACCAUCUAGUAGCUGGUUCCUCCCGAAAAUUUCCCUUAGGAUAGCACCAACCGACGUGAAGUAGUUGCAUCUGGUAAAAGCGAAUGAUUAAAGAAUUGGGGGGCGCAAUGCCCUUCGUCUGUUCUCAAAACUUUGAAUGGGUGCGACGUGUUAUGUUGCUUUAUUUGAACUAACACUUUGAAUACAUGGUUGUUAGCGGGCUUGUUCUGGUAAGCAGGACUGGCGAUGCGGGAUGAACCGAUCAUAUUGUUAAAGCGCCCAAUUCUCCGCUCAUAAGAUCCCACAAAAUGCGCAGGCAAAUUGAGGACAGUUGGGCCGUGGCCAUGGAAGUCGGCAACAGGCUAAG